AUGAGGCAUUUACACCAAGCGCAUGAUUUACCAUGGCUCCUGGUUGGUGAUCUCAAUGAGAUUAUGUACUUACAUGAAAAGGACGGUGGCAACCCACGGCCACCCCAAUAUAUGCAAGCAUUCCAGGAUAUUGUAGAAGAAUGUGAUUUGCACGACCUUGGCUACAUUGGUGACCAAUACACUUGGCGUCGAGGAAGAAUACGCGAAAGGCUCGAUAGAGGACUGGUAAAUAAUCAGUGGACCUCCCAAUUCCCGCAGGCGGCAUUGCGGAAUUUUGAGUUUAAUCAUUCGGAUCAUAGACCCCUUCUGGUGGACACUAAAUUCUAUGUUCAGGCGCCAAGUGGUCCGACUACACAUGUUAAAAGAUUUGAAGCUAGGUCGCUGAGAGAGAAGCUUUUCAAUGAAAAAGUGAUGGAAGCCUGGACGGAGGUUGCAUCCGACCCCAACGCAACAAGCAUACAUGAGAAGCUCAAUAGAAUGCAUGCUAGCUUCCAUGAUUGGGAUCAGAGGGUUCUCAAAAAGCCGAAAAAACGGUUACGUAAAGCCUAA
rnacentral:rRNA from 1 species